rnacentral:rRNA from 1 species
AACGAACGCUGGCGGCAGGCCUAACACAUGCAAGUCGAGCGGGACCUUCGGGUCUAGCGGCGGACGGGUGAGUAUCGCGUGGGAAUAUGCCCUUCUCUACGGAAUAGCCUCGGGAAACUGAGAGUAAUACCGUAUACGCCCUACGGGGGAAAGAUUUAUCGGAGAAGGAUUAGCCCGCGUUGGAUUAGGUAGUUGGCGGGGUAAUGGCCUACCAAGCCGACGAUCCAUAGCUGGUUUGAGAGGAUGAUCAGCCACACUGGGACUGAGACACGGCCCAGACUCCUACGGGAGGCAGCAGUGGGGAAUCUUAGACAAUGGGGGAAACCCUGAUCUAGCCAUGCCGCGUGAGUGAUGAAGGCCUUAGGGUUGUAAAGCACUUUCAGCUGGGAAGAUAAUGACGGUACGAGCAGAAGAAGCCCCGGCUAACUCCGUGCCAGCCGCCGCAGUAA